GGGAUGGGGUGACACAGUGACAGAGGGAGGGGGUGACUGGUGACAGAGUGAGGGAGGGGAUGACUAGUGACAUAGUUAGGGAGGGAGUGACUAGUGACAGAGGGAGGGAUGGGGUGACUAGUGACAGUCACAAUCUCCCUCCCUCUGUCACUAGUCACCAUCUCCCUCCCUCUGUCACUAGUCACCCCCUCCCUCAUUCUGUCACUAGUCACCCCCUCCCUCACUAGUCACCCCCCCUCACUCUGUCACUGGUCACCCAUUCCCUCCCUCAAUCUGUCACUAAUCACCCCCUCACUCUGUCACUAGUCACCCUCUCCC
rnacentral:sRNA from 1 species